rnacentral:rRNA from 1 species
GACGAACGCUGGCGGCGUGCUUAACACAUGCAAGUCGAACGGAAAGGCCCUGCUUUUGUGGGGUGCUCGAGUGGCGAACGGGUGAGUAACACGUGAGUAACCUGCCCUUGACUUUGGGAUAACUUCAGGAAACUGGGGCUAAUACCGGAUAGGAGCUCCUGCUGCAUGGUGGGGGUUGGAAAGUUUCGGCGGUUGGGGAUGGACUCGCGGCUUAUCAGCUUGUUGGUGGGGUAGUGGCUUACCAAGGCUUUGACGGGUAGCCGGCCUGAGAGGGUGACCGGCCACAUUGGGACUGAGAUACGGCCCAGACUCCUACGGGAGGCAGCAGUGGGGAAUAUUGCACAGUGGGCGGAAGACUGAUGCAGCAACGCCGCGUGCGGGAUGACGGCCUUCGGGUUGUAAACCGCUUUCGCCUGUGACGAAGCGUGAGUGACGGUAAUGGGUAAAGAAGCACCGGCUAACUACGUG